rnacentral:lncRNA from 1 species
GGAAAGGGUGUGGCAGAGUGCCAGGUGUAGGAUUGACUAAUUUGGAUAACUCAGCAGAUGCAAAGGCAAAGGGGCUGACCUUAGUGGUCUGGGACCUGGCUCCAGGGCGGUUCGGGCAGGUGCACAGUGGCCUGGAGUGUGAGAGAGGGUAAGGGGAGGUGACUGGGAGUGUGGACUCACUGACUUACUGACUGCUAAUGAAGGGGAACUGACCGGCCUUUGGCCAAGGCCUCAAAACUAGGUCAAGACAGCACCAAAAAAACUAUAGUACAGUGCAGAUACCAAAAUACGGGGGGCCUUGUGCCUGCUACAAUUCUUCCAGCAAUUGAAGCCUUAUUAUGUCUAGAAAGAGUGAAACUAGUGGGAUAUUAGACUGAAGUUUGUGUUUGUUUAGACAGAGAGAUUCUGAAUUUGUUUCUUCAUUGGUUCUUACAAGAGACGGAGGGAGACACUGGAUGUCAGGCAGGCUAUGAAUGGGGCACUAACAUUCUUUAUUCAGUUGAUACUUUUCAGUGAAGGCUUCCAAGUAAUUUAGUCAUUUUUCUUUUACGAAAAAUUUCAUCCUUCUUUCUUUGUGUUCACAAUAAGCAUUUAACACGUACACUGUCUGUAAAAUAGCAUUUACUUAUUUGGAAAACUUGCAUUUCCCUCUCACAUUUUGCUACCAGUCCUUACUAACUAGAAUGAGUUGUUCACAUUCAGUAGGAAUAGCUUACAAGGAAAGUCUUAUUCACAUAUGUACAUUUUUAUGUCAGUAAAAUAUUUCCUCCUUUUUUUUGUAGCUUUCCUUUGCAGUUUCUUUUGUGAUUUCAGAAAUAUGCAACACCUGUUGACACAUAUUAAAUGUUUUAAAAUUUAAGUAGUCAGAUAAACCACUUGUCGUCCCCCCCCACACACACACACACAAAAAACAGCAUUACACUAUGCUUUAUUCGGUCUUGGAAUUUCAUUUGAAUAUAACUAAAAACUAUCAGUGGCUGUCAACUUACUGAUCCUGGGGCUGGGGCAAGGCUUGUAGUAAUAAUACUCUGUAACAUACACGUGCACUCCCAAAGCAUGCUAUACGGAUGGGUUAAUGACAGCAAGAAGAGUGCUUUUCAAAAAAAAUUCAUAUGAAGACACUUUCUACUUCAGUUGGAGAUUUGCUGGUGAUAUUAGAAGUUGCUGUGGAAACCAGAAUUAGUUGGCACUUAUAUUUUUGAUUUGUUUUAGUGAUAUUGUCAUGUCCCUCCUAGAUUAUCGCCCAGCACGAGCCACGUUCUAGGGAGCCCUGAGAUUCUUCUGAACUACUUUAGACAUUCCUCUGGAUCACGUUAAAGCAACCUCAAUAAGAAGAUAAUAGUUGAGGUGCCCUGAGGGUUGGCCAUUCUAGAGGAGAGAGGGGAAGGGUCAGGCUGUCCCUAAAGCAACUCUGGUCCACGAGGGGCAGCCCACCCAGGGCCAGCCCACACACCUCCCUCCCAGUAAUCACCCAGCCACAGAGCACUGGAGUUGUGUGCAGUGUUUGGAGGAAACAGUUCUGUGGCUUAAAGGUUUACAAAAACACGGUUCUACCAUGGCUUAUGCGAAAAGAAACUAAGAAUAAGAACAAUACUGAAUUUGAACUACUAAUUCCUUAAGACCUGGGAACAUCCUGUGCUCUCAUAGUUAUAAUUUAAUCCAAAUACAUUGGACCCAUGCUGUAAUUCAAUUCUAGGCAAAGAGCACAGUUUUGUACACGGCAGAUUCAUUCUGGGGCGCUCUCCAGGGACUCGGUUACAGAAAAAUUCAAAGGCCUUCUUUGGGCUCUUUCACCCGUAUGUCUCCCCCACCCGCAUGGCCCAGAUUUGAGAGACAGCACUGCAGCAGGGGCCUCUCUAUGCCAGGAAAUACCACUUUAUCUUCCAAGACACGUUUGAAUUGCAUCCUUUAUCUCAUGUGCACCCAUGUUAUAUUUGGCCAAAUCCUGUAGCUUGGUUCUCAAACUGGGGUUCCAUCUCGGCCCCCUAAUUUGUUGUCGUCAACACAGUGGAUUUUAAUGCCUUCAGAAAGGGUAUGCUGUAUGUACCACUCAGCUCCAGGGGGGCACCAUUUGUAUUGCGAUCAUAUUGUGUUCUAGGGAUCUGUGCCCCCCUCCCAAUGCAGUGACUUGGAGUAAGGCCCUCUCCAGCUUCCACUGCAUCCAAGUCUGGGUUGCGUCUGGGUUUCAUCUGGGUUUGAGAUCUCUGCUAUGUGACUGCCUUGUUUCCACGAGUCCAUAGAGCACUUGGCGUGGAGCCAGAAGAUGGAGGUUGGGUCUUUGCAUUUCCUGAUUCACGUGUUAAUUAAUUAUCAUCAACUCAGUUAACCUUGUGGAAUUUCAGUUAAUUCACUUAUCAAUGGGACCAAUAAUGUCUAUUUCACACAGGUUGUGGAAAUCAUUUAUACCCUGCUUUUAUUCCGAAAAGGAUCCAUAUGUUUGUAUAAAAUAUAGCAAGAUGACAUGAAUGAAAAGUGGCUGAGAAAGAAAAAGAAGGGGGAAAAAGUAUAAAAUGGGGCCAGGAUGUACCUUCUUUCCAGAUCUGCCUGCUUCCUAGGAGGAGGCCACAGACUUUCUUCUGUCCUUCCAGGUAGCCAAGGAGAAAAUGGAAACUAGGUCAUUUUCUUUCAUCACAGUGUCCAAAAGAUCCACAGGCUGGUGUCUAGGCAAAAGUAUUCCUCUUCCAAAUACCUUCACUGAAGGAGACUGCUCUCAAGGGUCUGCUUGGAGGGGCCACUACAGAAGGCAACCAGCAAUAUCUGCCACAGAGAGAGGCUGCAAAAGGCAGCCCACAAAUGUCAGCAUUUGUAGGGGCUUUGUUUUGGUUUGGUUUGAUUCGAUGUCUAAAAAACUUGACUCCAUAGUUUAAAAAAAAAUCAGUCAACAUUAGGAGUUCCUGUUGUGGCUUAGUGGGAUAUGAACCCCACUAGUAUUGUGAGGAUGCAGGUUCAAUCCCUGGCCUCGCUCAUGGGUUAAGGAUCCGGCGUUGCCAUGAGAUGCGGCUCAGAUCCCAAGUUGCUAUGGCUGUGGCUGUGGCGUAGGCCAGCAGCUACAGCUCCAAUUCGACCCCUAGCCUGGGAACCUCCAUAUGCCGCAGGAGCGGCCCUGGAAAAGGCAAAAAAUAAAAAUUAAAAAAUAAGUAAAAAAAUAAAGUUGCCAUUUCUAAAAAAUAAAAAAAAAAAUUCAAAUUUAGGAGAGUUCUAGAGACACUUGCUUGUAGAAUUUUCUUUUAUAAGUAACUGGAACCUAGCUCAAGUUAGCCAAGAAAAACUGGACAUUUUUUUGGCUCACGUAGCACAUGGCUGAAGGUCAAAUAUGCCAGCCACAGCUGGAUCCAGGGUUCCUCUUGUUAUGUGUCUGUCCUCUCCCCCAGCCCUAUUUCCCACUGUGUUGGCUUCCUCCUCAGGUGGGUCCUCUCCCUGUGGUGGCAUCAGUGACCUGGGGCCCCGUCCUUAAUAUCUGCAAGGGAUGCUCUCCCCCAGGGGAGUAGGGAUGCCUGGGGUAGGGAUGCUCACUGAUGGCCUGAAGCCCUGAGGGUGGGAGAGGACCCAGCUCUCAAACAGAGAAGAUUCUGGCUGGAUUAAUCUGUAAGACAUGCUAUAGUCUUGCCCUUCCAAAUUUCUGAGAUAAGGCAAUGUAUCUGUCCUUUUUUAACUUCUAUGGUUUUGUAAUUGACAGUUCAGGGAAGGUUCAAAUGAGUUCAUCUUAAUCAUACUCUAAGAGAUUCUUUCUUAAGGUUGCUAGACUCUUUUGGAAAGCCAGCUGGCCUCACGCUGGCCUCACGCUGGCCUCACCUCUGCAGGUGUCUCUCUGCAGCCCCUUCAAGUUACACAGCCUUGUCACCGGUGGCAGAUGUGCCUCCUGCUUCUUUGCUACCUGCCAGCUGUCUCCAGGGAUGGCCUGCAUCUCUGUCCUCCUCUCCUUUCUCCGCUCCCUUCUGCACACCUAGAGUAGCCCCUCCCAUGUGGGUAUAGGUGCCUGAGCCCUCACCUGAACAUCUUGGAGUCUGAGAUAGCUCUCAUUUAGAAAGGUCACACUGUGCAGAUACUGUAUGUAGACACUCCUAGCAGGUGCAGUGGCCAGAUUCCCACUCAUUCACAUUUCUGCUGGGCAACACGUGAAUGUUGACCCUAAGUAGGAAUAAAGAAAGUCUACAGCAGCCUGGCAUCAGUUCAGGCCAGGUUUGGCCACCAAAUACAUUAUGCAAGAUUUGUUUUCAGGGCUCGUUGUGUUUCAGAAUUGGGAACAAGAGGGCUGGACCUGUAUUUACUUGUACAGAUAGCUUGUAUAGUAGGUGCUUAUGAAUCCCUGUUGGAAUCUCAGUACCUCUGACUGGUCCCCAUGAAAUGUAAAACCUAAGAAACCUUUUAACUUACAGCAGUACUUUCCAGUUUUUCAAGUAUAUGAGUGUAUCUGUGGGGGUGGAUAACUAUGAAAAGGAAUGGAUUUUGUGUCAGUGUCUUCAUCUUGAGAGGGUCCUGGUAGGCAAAGAGUUAGAAAGCCACUAGACCUGACAUUAAAUUUUUCAUUUAUUAACUUCUUUAAAGGACCACUUACCAUCUGGUGGGGAGGAAAGCAACCUCACAAACAAUGCUUAUUACCAAGUGAAAUGAGGGCAAGGUGAAAGUUGUUUGUAACUUUCUAGUUCAACCUUGGGGGUUUUCACAAAAGGAUUUGUCACAUCUUUUGUCUUUGAGCACAGAAAUUCGACAACACUCUUACCAGAAGUGGAAGCAUUUCAAGCACCCCAAAAUAAAUUAGCUUACCACUUGGAACCCUGAAGUUCAAGAGAAUUUCCAAGUUUAUAAUGCUUGGUCUCGCCCAGGGAGAUGAGGAGGGCAGACUUGAUUCCAGCUUUGCUAAUGUUCCUGCCAGCUUUUGUCAACCAUUUACCAUCACGAUGUCUCCAUUAUCCCAUCUGUCAGCGAAGAGUCUUUGCUGUAUUUCAACAUGUCAUGUUUUCAAGAACUUCUCAACGCUACCUUCUGGUGCCUGGCAACUGUCAUGGAUGAAUUUGCUGCACCUCUUUCUGAUGCCUGCCAGGAGGGAGCUGGAGGAAGGGUUUAGAGCAUCUUCUAGUAAAUCCAGCUGAUCACAUAUCUGCUGCCGUGGAGGUGGGAGAAUGGAAUUGGGGGCAGCUGUCUUAUUAGCACGGUGGAGAUUGACUUUUCAGAUAUUCUGUAUAAAGACUUUAGGGUUGGCAGAGUGUGUAGGAAAUGUCCUGAUCUGGAAAAGACUCUUUGGAUUGAUAAAAACUAGGCCUGUUUUUUUAAAAAUUGGGUUGGGUAGGAUGGUGGCACAGGCUUCAGCAUCUUUGUGUAAAGGAGGCAUCAGAAAACUGGCACACCAAGGAGAUUUGGCAGCACAGCAGCAUUUCGGGCACAAGCCCAUUGACCCCAUGUUUUGUCUCCACUUCAUGGAGAACCUGCCACCUGGUUCAGCCACAGGCCUGGUGAUUCAGAUGGAGCAUUUCCUGCUGGGUGCUGGUCCAUGUACUGCAGGGCAGAGAAGACCUUUUGGGGGCCACCUGCCUGUACAAAGCCUCCCUUUCAGAUUCAACCACAGCUCCAGUUUCUUUCCUUCCUAUAGCUUCCCCUGAUGACUCCAGCCCACACUGAUCUUUUCCUUCUCUGAAUUUCAGUCAUGCUACUUGGAGGCGGGAGGCAGAAUGGGGAGUGCGUCUCUUCCUGCUGUCCUGCUUAUCAAUGUUAUGUAACAGACUACCCCAAAAUUUAGUUCCUUAAAACAGUAAACAUUUUAUCAUACCUCCUGGUUUUGUGGAUCAGGAAUUUGGGCAGAGCUCAGCUAGGAGUUUCUUUUGCUCCUUAUGGACCUUAAUUGAAACCCAUGGUUUCAGUUGGCAGGUAGGUGAUCUACAGGAUGCUGGAUGGAUUCACUCACUUACCUGGCUUCUUGGUGGGGCCAGCUGGAAGGUGUGCUCAGCUAAAAUGUUCCUGAACCACCUACAUUGUUUGGUCUCAUU